rnacentral:rRNA from 1 species
UGGGGAAUAUUGCGCAAUGGACGAAAGUCUGACGCAGCGACGCCGCGUGUGGGAUGACGGUCUUCGGAUUGUAAACCACUGUCGGGAGGGACGAAUACGCCGCAAGGCGGGUGACGAUACCUCCAAAGGAAGCACCGGCUAACUCCGUG